UAACUCUCCAAUAAAAUAAAUUAAUUUUUUUAUUCCAAUUAUUUUACAUAGAAAUUAGUACUGUAAUAAAUUAUAACUCUUAAUAAAUAAUUUUAAACCCUAAAAAUAUGAAAAUUUUAACUUUUUAAUUGUAAAUGUAAUAUAUCAAUUGUCCAAAUUUUUCAUUUUUUUUAUUUUUAACAGAUGUAAUUUGCAUAACAACAAAAUUACUAAAUUAGGGUUAGAUUUAGAUAAAAUUAAGUAGUUAGGGUUAGGGUUAGGAUUAGGGGUUAGGGUUAGGGCUAAAAUAUGAAUAGGGCUAAGAACAAGCCACAUAUAAUGGUUAGGUUUAGGGUUAAGUUUAGGUAGGGGUUAAGAGGUUAGGUUUAGGUCAAUUCAGGUUAGGGGUUAGGGUUAGGGGGUUAGGGUUAGGGGGUUAGGGUUAGGUAAACGAUACUGAACCCGUCUCCCGAAGGAAACGGGGAAUGCACUCUCCGCCCACCCAUCCCCGUCAUCCCGGUCCCGGAAUGGCUGGCGGUCCCGACGGCGGCGUCCGCCACGUCGGAGGGUUAGGGUUAGGGUUAGGUAAACGAUACUGAACCCG
rnacentral:lncRNA from 1 species